ACCUUCAGUGAGAUUCAGAUUGUCACAAAAUGAGAGUGGACUAGAUGAAGUCUCUCCAACUCAUUGUAUCCAACUUGCCCUCAGGGAUACUCUCUGGAAUCUUACCAUCCACAAGGCUACCUACAGGGACCUAAACAUCCUGUGUCCACAGAGCCUCCCAUGAAGAACGAAGAGCCAGUUCAGCAGAUGGAUAGAGAAAACACUCCCCAAGGGUCACUGGACAGCAGUGCUACCACAAGGGAGACAGGGGCCUGGGUCGCCUCCCUACCCCUGAGUAGAAACACAUCACUCAUAAUCCAGAUUCAGCUGUGAGCCCCUUGUUCUUUAUUUCCUCCUACCUCAAGCUCCAGAGGGAGAAAUUCUGCAGCAUCUCUAGGAGGGAGAGACGGAGUGGCUCUCAACUUGAGUGUGCAGCAGAAUCACGUGCAGAGCUUGGUCAGCUGAUUGCUGGACACUACACACAAGGAGCAUGCCUGGAUACACAGCUUAGGGACAAGAAACCUACGCUCACCAAGUGUCCACCAGCUCCUCGGCAAGGAGGGAGUAAAAUGAAUUUUUUCUGCCACAACUUCUCUAGGCAUUUGUCUGGUCUUCUGCUGGAAAAUGUGGAUGUGGUUGUGAUCAUACUAGACCCUGGGAAUAAGGACAAACCUGAUGAAUGGUGAAGUGAGCAGAAAGAAAGUGGAUCCCAGAGGACUUUUCAGAGAGGAGCUUCCAGGCCACAGUAUACAUCUGUGGACUUUGAAGCAAGAUAACUACUAUCUGUGUGCCCCUUCCAACCUAACUGCUGAGGCCUGACAGAUACCAAAGAGGAUCUUCAGAGACGCCAGAGGUCGGGUGCCAUCCCUGGAAACGAGGAGAACAGAGUGCUGGAAAGAAUCUUCCAUUCUUUUUUCCUCUGAGCCUUGAUUUCCAUAUCUGAAAUGAGGAGACUCUGCCUACUUCCUGGAGAAUCGUGAGGAACAAAGAACUUUUGCACAGUACCUGAUGUAGUAGGCACUUAAUAAAAGAAGCUGGACAGAUGAUUGCCUUUCUCCACAAUCACCUCAAGGGAAAUACUAAAGCAGAAAAGUCAUUCUAUGGGGGCAGCUUCAGGGCAAAUGAGGAAGGAGGCACUCUUCCCUUCUACUGCCUUGAAGGUAGCAACCACUGCCAAAUGACUGCAUGUCCAUGGGGGUGCAGGCAGCUCUGUCGCACUGGGUGGCAGCUACCCACAUCCCACUGAGGCUCAGUGGGAAAUAGCUACAUGACCGGGGAGGAGCUUGAUGGCAGGGACUUCUUUAAAAGCAGAAGCCUGGUCCACUUCAAGGAGCAAGUGGCCAGUGCCCAGGCAGCCCAUGUCUGCAUCCUCGGCUACUCUACAGCAUAACUCAUACAGCUAUGGAGUGCACCCUACACACAGGCCCUGAACCAAGGAAGCAAACGAGGGCCAAAGCCCAGCCCAUCCUCCAUGCAGCCAGCCAGACUCCCUGGCUGGAGGAAGGAGGUGCCUCUUGAAUUUUUAUAAACCGCAUAGGAACUAGUGGUGGCCAGGUGCUUCUUUGGAGUUUUUAAGACUGACUUUGAAUCACAAAAAGAGUCUUUGCCUCCUUCCACCAACCUUAUCAAGUCUCCCCUAUUUGCUAGCCGACCAAGCCACAGUCCCUGCCUCGAGGGGCCCAGAGUCUGAAGAUGGGACAGACUUGGAAGUAAAUGACUGCAGGACAGGAUAACCCAGCUAGGACAAGUGCUUCUGGAGAGACAGAGGAGCAACUGCCCAGAUCACAGGACCCAUUAGGGGCAGGGUGCAGAGGAGAAAUCUUCAUCAGAAGGAUAAGGAAGUGCAGCCAAAUGAAAAGAGGGAAUGAGAGGGAGCAAGAGGAAAGGAAAUGCAGGGAAAGGAAGAAGAGAAUAAAGAAAUAUUGCAAAAGAUGAGAUGAAAGUGAAAGAAUGAAGAGGAUCCCAGCCAGUAUGAAGAAGCUUGUGAGUGUGUGUGUGCGUGCAUGUGUGCACUUACACCAGACAGAGAAAUAUAGGGGUGGGGUACACUCUGCGCAAGGCAUUGAGAUGGUCACUUUAUAGACCUUAUCUCAUUGAGUCCUUAUAGCAAUCUUGUGAUCAUUACUAUUCCCAUUUUACAGAUAAGGAACUUAGACAGAUGGAAGCCAAAAGACCCAGCUGAUAUAUGAUGGAAUCCACGCUGCCCCCAGUGUACCACAGGAGAGGCAGAGCUGUCCUUUGCUGCUGGUGACUCAGUCCCUCCAAUGCCCCUCUUCGUCUUCCCCCUGUGUCAGGCUAUUGGAUCACUGCAGCACCCCCUGGAGCCCCGAAGCCAUGGCCUCAGCACCACAGUGACGAUUUCAAAUGCCAGCUCUGGCUGAGGCUAAGGUUGCUGGCAUGAAAUCAAGUCUGCCAUUAGCACAAUGUCCAGGGAACAUUUGGGCAGCUAUCUGUCCCUCUCAGCCCAGGUACAUGGGGGUUAUGUUGAUUAAAUAAAUCUAAUCAUGGAAAUGAACUGACCCAGGUGAUGGGCACAGCACUCAGCUCCAAGUUACUGGUGAUUGUCAGAAAAUCCAAUUAAGAUAGAGCUGAGCCUACUGUGCUGCAUACAGUUAAUUGAGGGCAAGGGUAGGGGCAAAGGGGAAGCUAAGAAAGGAAAUCAUGUCUUAAUAUCCAUUAAGUUAAUCUCCCUCUUAAGCAGUGCCAGAGAGAGUCCAGGAAGAACCUAGAAGAGAAUUUAAUGGAAACUAGGUACCAGCCUGCUUUUAAUAUUUUCUUGACAUUCUGGCUGGGGGACAUGUGACAGGCACAGGAGACAAGGACGUGCAAGUCUAUGUGUCAUUUACGGAGCCAUGGACUAGGACUGUGGAGGCCCAAGGUCAAAUCUGUUCUGGGCUCCAUCACCAAUUAACCACUUGAUAUUUGACGCUGUCCUAUCUGAGCCUUAAUAAAAUGGAGUGCUAGAACUGGACCAAAGCCACCUGGUGGCUUUGAAGACCUUCAGCAGGAGAGGGGAAGAAAAUGAAAAUACAGGAAUUUGAGAAAAAUCU